UACAGAGGUCUCGAGCGUUAGGCGGAAUUACUGGGCGUAAAGCGUGCGCAGGCGGUUAUGCAAGACCGAUGUGAAAUCCCCGGGCUCAACCUGGGAACUGCAUUUGUGACUGCAUGGCUAGAGUACGGUAGAGGGGGAUGGAAUUCCGCGUGUAGCAGUGAAAUGCGUAGAUAUGCGGAGGAACACCGAUGGCGAAGGCAAUCCCCUGGACCUGUACUGACGCUCAUGCACGAAAGCGUGGGGAGCAAACAGG
rnacentral:rRNA from 1 species